GACGAACGCUGGCGGCGUGCCUAAUACAUGCAAGUAGAACGCUGAAGGAGGAGCUUGCUUCUCUGGAUGAGUUGCGAACGGGUGAGUAACGCGUAGGUAACCUGCCUGGUAGCGGGGGAUAACUAUUGGAAACGAUAGCUAAUACCGCAUAAUAGCAGUUAUUGCAUGAUAACUGUUUGAAAGGUGCAAUUGCACCACUACCAGAUGGACCUGCGUUGUAUUAGCUAGUUGGUGGGGUAACGGCUCACCAAGGCGACGAUACAUAGCCGACCUGAGAGGGUGAUCGGCCACACUGGGACUGAGACACGGCCCAGACUCCUACGGGAGGCAGCAGUAGGGAAUCUUCGGCAAUGGACGGAAGUCUGACCGAGCAACGCCGCGUGAGUGCAGAAGGUUUUCGGAUCGUAAAGCUCUGUUGUAAGAGAAGAACGAGUGUGAGAGUGGAAAGUUCACACUGUGACGGUAUCUUACCAGAAAGGGACGGCUAACUACGUG
rnacentral:rRNA from 1 species